rnacentral:rRNA from 1 species
GUGGGGAAUAUUGGGCAAUGGGCGAAAGCCUGACCCAGCAACGCCGCGUGAAGGAAGAAGGUUUUCGGAUUGUAAACUUCUGUCCUCAGGGAAGAAGGAAGUGACGGUACCUGAGGAGGAAGCCCCGGCUAACUACGUGCCAGCAGCCGCGGUAAUACGUAGGGGGCGAGCGUUGUCCGGAAUGACUGGGCGUAAAGGGCGCGUAGACGGCUGUCUAAGUCUGGAGUGAAAGUCCUGCUUUCAAGGUGGGAAUUGCUUUGGAGACUGGAUGGCUUGAGUGCGGAAGAGGUAAGUGGAAUUCCCAGUGUAGCGGUGAAAUGCGUAGAGAUUGGGAAGAACACCAGUGGCGAAGGCGACUUACUGGGCCGUAACUGACGUUGAUGCGCGAAAGCGUGGGGAGCGAACAGGAUUAGAUACCCCAGUAGUCC